rnacentral:rRNA from 1 species
GUCUAAGUAUAAGCACUUGUACUGUGAAACUGCGAAUGGCUCAUUAAAUCAGUUAUCGUUUAUUUGAUUGUACUUUACUACAUGGAUACCUGUGGUAAUUCUAGAGCUAAUACAUGCGAAAAAUCCCGACUUCUGGAAGGGAUGUAUUUAUUAGAUUAAAAACCAAUGCGAGUCUUCGGGCUCGUUUUCUUGGUGAUUCAUGAUAACUUUUCGAAUCGCAUGGCCUAGCGUCGGCGAUAUUUCAUUCAAAUUUCUGCCCUAUCAACUGUCGAUGGUAAGGUAGUGGCUUACCAUGGUUAUAACGGGUGACGGAGAAUUAGGGUUCGAUUCCGGAGAGGGAGCCUGAGAAACGGCUACCACAUCUAAGGAAGGCAGCAGGCUCGAAAAUUACCCAAUCCCAAUUCGGGGAGGUAGUGACAAGAAAUAACGAUACGGGGUCUUAAUAGGUCUCGCAAUUGGAAUGAGUACAAUUUAAAUCCUUUAACGAGGAUCAAUU